AUCCUGUGUUUGUUUUAGUAGGUGGUGUUGGAAAACUGGCUUUUUACAUGGAGAAAAACAGGAUACCUAACUAGCAUCAUGUCCAAAGGUGGGCUCUCAAUGGAUUAAAGGUCUUAAAUGUGAAAGCAUUUACUUAAAACAAGAUGUUCCAAGAUUAUUCUGUACUUUCCCUGCCCUAAUCUUGGAAUCCGUCGUGGAAUCCUAAUGCCUUAGCACUUGGUGCUCGUCUACUGAGGGAUCCCGGAAAGAGUCAAGAGAUGUGUUGGCAGGGAUUGCACUGGUCUUCUGAGGUGGGGCCUGCAGCACCAGGCCUAAGGGCCCGGAUGCUUCCUAAGGCCCUCUGGGCUCUCCCAGCGCUGAGCCACCGGAGUGCUAAACCCCUAGGCGUUAAAUCCUCUGGUUGUGAGAACCUAACAAAAUUUGGCCCCUGUCACUUUCACAGGCAAGUGUUAAGAGAUCACCUUCCCCUGGCCGGAGACUGUUGCCCACCGGCUGCCGCCACCUCCGUGUGGCCCUUUCCCUGCCUUUAGUCGUGCAGUUUGUUUCCUAGGCUUUGGAUCACUUUCUGGGUUACUUAUGUUGAUGUGUUUUGUGUCUGUGGGAGGAGACAAAUUAGAGUCUUUUAUGUUCCUUUGGUCUUCCCGACUCUACCAUGCUGAUAUUCUUUGGAAUUUUGGUUUUGGAUUGUUGAUAUACUUCAUUUUGUAUUCCAUUGGCCCUAGCUGUUUGGAAUUACACAUUUUGCCAAAGUAUUUGCUCACCUUUGCUUCCUAUAUCUCACGUCUAAAUUCAUUUUUCAUAUUUGACUGCUUCCAAAAUAUUAUUUUUUAAAUUUUUAAAAAAGAUUUUAUUUAUUUCACACAGAGAGCCCAAGCAGGGGGAGCUGCAGGCAGAGAGAGAGAAACAGGC